CAGUGCUGCAUGGCUGUCGUCAGCUCGUGUCGUGAGAUGUUGGGUUAAGUCCCGCAACGAGCGCAACCCUUGUCUUUAGUUGCCAUUAUUAAGUUGGGCACUCUAAAGAGACUGCCGGUGUCAAACCGGAGGAAGGUGGGGAUGACGUCAAGUCCUCAUGGCCUUUAUGACCUGGGCUACAAACGUGAUACAAUGGCUGGAACAAAGGGAGGCGAAGGGGUGACCUGGAGCGAAACCCAAAAAUACAGUCUCAGUUCGGAUUGAAGUCUGCAACUCGACUUCAUGAAGUCGGAAUCGCUAGUAAUCGCGGAUCAGAACGCCGCGGUGAGUACGUUCUCGGGGUUU
rnacentral:rRNA from 1 species